CAGAGAACAUGCCCUUCGGGGUAGAUCUCCCACCCUUUGUUUACAAAUCUUUGUUGCUUUGGCAGGCCUGCCGCAAGGCUGCCGGCUUCGGCUGGACCGCGCCUGCCAGAGGACCUAAAACUCUUUUGUUUAAUGUCGUCUGAGUACUAUUUAAUAGUUA
rnacentral:misc_RNA from 1 species